rfam:Bombyx mori DNA, contig: Bm_scaf11_contig8908, strain: p50T/Dazao, build 2, whole genome shotgun sequence.
UUAACUCAAAUUUGUAUGGAGUUGGAACGUUUGCCUACGUUUGCUGCUAGGGGCGCUUUUCCGACUGCAUAUAAAUUUCAGUUC